CCAAAGGCUCUUUUAAGAGCCACCCACAUAGAACGAAAAAGAGCUG
rfam:Scleropages formosus scaffold22576, whole genome shotgun sequence.